rnacentral:lncRNA from 1 species
AGAGAUAAAAAGUAUGUUAUCUUACUCUGAGAUGAUAUAUUGAUCGAUCCAUCCUUCGUGUUUUUUUCUCCUUGUAGCUGUUACUGAUAUUGACACCAGUGGUAUCCAUGCCUUGGAAGAGUUGCAUAGAAGCCUAAUAAAGAGAAAUGUUCAGGUAAAUCAUCUUUUACAUAUGUGAAAAACUACGAAUAUUUCAACUAACGUGUCUGUAACACGUCCAGUUUAAAUUCUGGAUCUGCCUCUGUAAUACAUAUAUGACUCGGAAUCUUACCUUCGUUACAGCUUGUUCUGUCGAACCCCGGGAGAGUAGUGAUUGACAAGCUACAUGCAUCCAAAUUUCCAGAUCAAAUUGGUGAGGACAAGAUAUUUCUCACAGUUGCUGAUGCUGUGCUAACAUGUUCAUUAAAAUUGC